AUUGAACGCUGGCGGCAGGCCUAACACAUGCAAGUCGAACGAGUGGCGGACGGGUGAGUAAUGUCUGGGAAACCGCCUGAUGGAGGGGGAUAACUACUGGAAACGGUAGCUAAUACCGCAUACCAUCGGAUGUGCCCAGAUGGGAUUAGCUAGUAGGUGGGGUAACGGCUCACCUAGGCGACGAUCGCUAGCUGGUCUGAGAGGAUGACCAGCAACACGGGAAUUGAGCCACGGUCCAGACUCCUACGGGAGGCAGAAGUGGGGAAUAUUGCACAAUGGGCGCAAGCCUGAUGCAGCAAUGCCGAGUGUAUGAAGAAGGCCUUCGGGUUGUAAAGUACUUUCAGCGGGGAGGCGUUACCCGCAGAAGAAGCACCGGCUAACUCCGUGCCAGCAGCCGCGGUAAUUC
rnacentral:rRNA from 1 species